CGUAGGUGGCAAGCGUUAUCCGGAAUUACUGGGCGUAAAGCGCACGCAGGCGGCUUUUCAAGUUCGACGUGAAAGCUCCCGGCUUAACUGGGAGAGGUCGUUGAAGACUGAGAGGCUUGAGGCAAGGAGAGGGGUGUAGAAUUCCCGGUGUAGUGGUGGAAUGCGUAGAUAUCGGGGGGAAUACCAGUGGCGAAAGCGGCACCCUAGCCUUAGCCUGACGCUCAGGUGCGAAAGCGUGGGGAGCGAACGGGAUUAGAUACCCCGGUAGUCCACGCUGUAAACGAUGAACACUAGGUGUAGGUGAUGUGAAAGUUAUCUGUGCCGAAGCCAACGCGUUAAGUGUUCCGCCUGGGGAGUACGGCCGCAAGGCU
rnacentral:rRNA from 1 species